CAAUCAAAUUGCAAGCUCAAGUUGUCCACGUGAUUCACGUGACCAAGCAUUUUUAGUCAUAUGACUUCACUUUGUAUUAACACAAGACGGUUCUGCUAGACUGCAAUACCGAAACUACAAGAUGAAGGAAUAUAACUGGUUGCUGCUGGCUACAUUGAUGAUGGGUGUUGUCUCUGCCCAGAAGCUUUUUUUCAAGUCCAACAAACUUAUACAGGAAGAAAUAGAGCAACAUUUACAGAAAGCACAGCCAGUAAAAGGAUUUGGUUUCGGUGAACCAAGACAUUAUUUCACAAGUC